CCUGGUGGCUCAGAGGUUAAAGCAUCUGCCUGGAAGGCGGGAGACCCAGGUUCCAUCCCUGGGUCAGGA
rfam:Ovis aries breed Texel chromosome 3, whole genome shotgun sequence.